UACGUAGGGACCAAGCGUUGUUCGGAUUUACUGGGCGUAAAGGGCGCGUAGGCGGCGUGACAAGUCACUUGUGAAAUCUCUGGGCUUAACCCAGAACGGCCAAGUGAAACUGUUGUGCUAGAGUGCAGAAGGGGCAAUCGGAAUUCUCGGUGUAGCGGUGAAAUGCGUAGAUAUCGAGAGGAACACCAGAGGUGAAGACGGGUUGCUGGGCUGACACUGACGCUGAGGCGCGAAAGCGUGGGGAGCAAACGGG
rnacentral:rRNA from 1 species